GAGUAAUGCGUGACCAACCUGCCCCAUGCUCCAGAAUAGCUCUUGGAAACGGGUGGUAAUGCUGGAUGCUCCAACUUGACGCAUGUCUUGUUGGGAAAGUGUUUAGUGGCAUGGGAUGGGGUCGCGUCCUAUCAGCUUGUAGGCGGGGUAAUGGCCCACCUAGGCUUCGACGGGUAGCCGGCCUGAGAGGGCGGACGGCCACAUUGGGACUGAGAUACGGCCCAGACUCCUACGGGAGGCAGCAGUU
rnacentral:rRNA from 1 species